rnacentral:rRNA from 1 species
GUGGGUGGGCCGGAUUAGAUACCCUGGUAGUCCACGCCGUAACGAUGUCAACUAGCCGUUGGGAGCCUUGAGCUCUUAGUGGCGCAGCUAACGCAUUAAGUUGACCGCCUGGGGAGUACGGCCGCAAGGUUAAAACUCAAAUGAAUUGACGGGGGCCCGCACAAGCGGUGGAGCAUGUGGUUUAAUUCRAAGCAACGCRAARAACCUUACCAGGCCUUGACAUCCAAUGAACUUUCCAGARAUGGAUUGGUGCCUUCGGGAACAUUGARACAGGUGCUGCAUGGYUGUCGYCAGCUCGUGUCGUGAGAUGUUGGGUUAAGUCCCGUAYCKAGCGCRWCCYUUGYCUUUASUUACC